CCCCGCUCGCCGACCGGCCGGGCAACCCCAACCGAGCGCUAAUAAAAUCGCCGCAGAGGCGCGGCCGCGUUGCGGGCUUCCUUCCUAGGGGGCGCUGCGGAGCGCGGGCGGAGGCGCGCGCGCGAGGCCUCGGGACUCUUUUGCCCUCUCAGGGCGGAAGGAACGCGGUCUGCCUGCGGGAGGGUCGUCGCCUCCCCGAGGCCUGUCGCCUACCCGAGGCCUCAGCGUCCCAGGAGCGGCCCCCGCCCCUUUAAUCUUUUCUGAGGGGGGCGUCGCGGGAGCGCGGCCCUUUUGAAAUGCCGCGGAGGGUCGGCCGCCGGAUUUCAGGGCUUCCCCGCCGGCGUCGAGGUGGAGAAGCACGCUUGCUCGCGGUGGAGUCGGGCGGAGGAGCCGGGGCAGCCUUGGGAAUCCGAGGCCCGGGCGGCCGAAGCUGGGGGCCGGGUCCUAACCCUCUGGACGCGGCAGUUUGUGUGGUCUGCACCUCAGAACUGGGGCCUGAUUUCCUGGAGAGGCUGAGGCUGCCGAGAUGAGUUUCCAGUACCGAGCACUGCAGCUGUAUAUCACCAAACAGUGUUUUGUUUUUAAAAACCUUUUUCCUCAGUCGGCCUUGUCUCACCUUUUCCUUUCUUUUGUUCGUUUUUUCUGUUUCAUUACUUAGGGGAGUGGGCGUUGUCCGUGGUGAAAUAAAAACUGGGACGGGAUCUUCGCCCAGUUGGCGCUUUCUCGGCGCGCUGACCUGUGGUCGAGGCUUGGAGCCAAGCUCUGGAGAGGGCGGAGGCCCCGAGCGGAGGCUCCUGUGAUAAUAGAAGCUGGAAAGUCCCAAGAUCUGGAGGGUGAGUUGGCAAGCUGGAGACCCAGGAGGAUGAACUUCUUCUCUGUCUCCAUAAUUCUUAAGAGGAAGAAUUAAUGAGAAUUGAAAGGAGAAGCUUCUACUGGAAGACUAAUACUUGAGUUCCAGGCACUUCUGAACAAAUAGAAUAUGAAAAUGCCAGUGCUGAAACUAAUGCAAGAAACUCUGUGUGGAAGCUCCCCAUGAAACUAAAGAAGCCAAAAGAGAUGUGUGAUAUCUCUUCUGAAAGAAUUAGAACACAGCUUGAUGUCAAUAAAAAGAUUGCAACCCAUGGAGAAAAUAGUUAUUAAAAAUAUGUCCUCAAAGUCAGCAAGAGACAGCGAGACAGAGACAGAGAUCGUUUGAAGAUGGAGUAAAAAGGAAAUGUUUGGAGUUAGCUGAUAAAAAUGAUAUUAUCUUCCAACUAGUUUAGAAUCAGAGCUUUUUCAGCAGCUGAAAAAAUGUACACAAAAAUAAGUUCACUAUCUAAUAAAGACCAAUUGACACACUUAAAGAGACAUCUUUCUUUUAAAUUACAUGUCAUCUUCUGUUAAUCAUCAUUAGUUACAUUUUCUUUAUUUCAUAUAGUGUUUAUGGUAGUUUGUUUGUAACACCUUGUUUUACCUGCCAGCAACUGAUAUUAGUAAUGAUUUAUAUUUAAAUUAUUAUAAUUUUUCAUUUUCCUCAAUGUAUGACUUUAAAAUUUUAAAUGCAUCAAAUACCUAGUCUAACAUUUUAAUUUUAUGGAUUAAGAAGUUUCAAAA
ensembl:lncRNA